UACAGAGGUCUCAAGCGUUGUUCGGAUUCAUUGGGCGUAAAGGGUGCGUAGGCGGCGCGGUAAGUCGGAUGUGAAAUCUCGGGGCUUAACUCCGAAACUGCAUUCGAUACUGCCGUGCUUGAGGACUGGAGAGGAGACUGGAAUUUACGGUGUAGCGGUGAAAUGCGUAGAUAUCGUAAGGAAGACCAGUGGCGAAGGCGGGUCUCUGGACAGUUCCUGACGCUGAGGAGCGAAAGCGUGGGGAGCGAACAGG
rnacentral:rRNA from 1 species